rnacentral:rRNA from 1 species
UACGUAGGGUGCAAGCGUUGUCCGGAAUUACUGGGCGUAAAGCGUGCGCAGGCGGUGAUGUAAGACCGAUGUGAAAUCCCCGGGCUCAACCUGGGAACUGCAUUUGUGACUGUAGAGCUGGAGUGCGGCAGAGGGGGAUGGAAUUCCGCGUGUAGCAGUGAAAUGCGUAGAUAUGCGGAGGAACACCGAUGGCGAAGGCAAUCCCCUGGGCCUGCACUGACGCUCAUGCACGAAAGCGUGGGGAGCAAACAGG